rnacentral:sRNA from 1 species
GGAUUGAAUACACCGGCCCGGAAUGGAUUGGGACGUUUGCAUUUUUUUAACAGACGACAAUUUAAAUAUUAUGUAUUGCCAUGAAUGCAACAGGAAUACUUAGUAACAGAUUUUUACAUGCAUAUUUGCGUUUGCCAGGUAAAUUGCGCGUGCCUUACCAUGUGCACGUGCAAUUUUCCUCUUUUUUUCAUGAGGGUCGAUGUCAAAGGACGAUAUGUAGUAAAUCAAUUUUAAUUAAUUCAAAUUACCUGCGAUUUUUAGAACUGCUCGGUCUGCUGGUUCUAGUUGAAGAGCACCUAAACUUAGAGGCACUUGGUCACUUCCAUACUGUCUUAAAUAAUAAUCCGGUGAGAACGACGCCAUAGUGAGGAAAUUCGAACCGAUGUGUCAGCUUUUAUUCAUUCAUCAUUUUCUUUACCCCGUACAAGAUUUCAAUGAUCGGUGUGAGCUGAUUCCAGUAAAAUAUCAUCGGCCUGUAUUCUCUAAAUCAAUGAAACAUGCGAUCACCACUAACAAAUCCAUGGAGUGUACUGAAAUUCCUGUUCUGUGACUCCUAUGUAAAAAUAGCCGUAUAAUUUCCCUCACCCGGACAACAAUGAGCGCUUGAAAAAAUGACGUUUUGAACACUACUCGGUGAUUACAGACAUUACAACACAGGCAUCUUUUCAAUCAGACACAGGGAUUGUACAAAUGAUUUCGCGAAAAUGGCCGCUACUACAGCAUGCAUGCAGUGUGAUGUCAUCCUUUGCCAGGUCGCUGUGUAUCAGCCGUAUUUAUCGAUCUGCAUAUAUAAUGCAUUGUGUUUACACUACUUUUGUACUUUACAAUUGCCAAAAAACAAGGGCUUAAAAUCGUUAUCGUGUAAGGCAAUUUUUAAAUGAGAGAGCCGACCUUGUAGUUGAUAUUUGCUUUGUAACUCUUUUAUCUUAUAAAGAUAAAAUAAUUGGAAUUUCACUGUAUUCUUAAUUUAAAUUCCAGCGAUAAAAAAAUCACUGCAUUUGUUC